AUAAAAUUUGAUUCUGGUUUUAAAAAUUUUUAUUAAGUAAUAUAUAACAUGUAAAUAUUUGUGUGUUAAAGAGUAUAAUUUAAAAAAUUUAUUCUAAAUUUUUAUUUAAUCGCAGUUUUUAUUUUUAAAUAUCUAAUAAAUUAGGAUUUAGUUAAUUUUAAUAUGGUUAGCAAAAAUUGUGCCAGCAGCUGCGGUUAUACAAUUGACCAAUAUUAUUAUUAUUAGGAGAUUAUUAAUCUUUGAUUAGUUGAUUAUAUCAUUAAUUUUAAUUUUUAAGUGAAAUUUAAAUUUUAAUAUAAGAUUUAGGUAAUUUAUAGAAAUUAUAAGAAAUUCUUGAUUGAGACUAGGAUUAGAUACCCUAUUAUUUUGAAUGUAAAAUUUUUCCUCAUUAUUAAUAGUUAAGAUCUUUAAAUUGAAAGAAUUUGACGGUAAUUUUAAUCAUUUUAGAGGAACCUGUUCUGUAAUCGACAAUCCACGAUAAAUUUUACCUUAAUUUAAUGUUUGUAUAUCUCUGUCUGAUGAAUGUUUUAUUAGAAAAUUUUCGUUAAUUUUUAUGAAAUUUAUGUCAGGUCAAGGUGCAGUGAUAUUAAGGGUUGAAAUGGGUUACAAUUAAUUUGUAUUAUUGAAAUAUAAACAUUAAUUAUUGUUUUUAUGAAAUUGGAUUUAAUUGUAAUGUUUAAAAUAUAUUAUUCAUGAUAUAUGUUCUUGAUUAAGUACACAUCGCCCGUCGCUCUCAUUAUUAAAAUGAGAUAAGUCGUAACAAAGUAAUCCUAUCGGAAGAUGGGGUUAGAAUUAUA
rnacentral:ncRNA from 1 species